rnacentral:rRNA from 1 species
GAUGAACGCUGGCGGCGUGCCUAAUACAUGCAAGUCGAGCGAACGGACGAGAAGCUUGCUUCUCUUAUGUUAGCGGCGGACGGUUGAGUAACACGUGGAUAACCUACCUAUAAGACUGGGAUAACUUCGGGAAACCGGAGCUAAUACCGGAUAAUAUUUUGAACCGCAUGGUUCAAAAGUGAAAGACGGUCUUGCUGUCACUUAUAGAUGGAUCCGCGCUGCAUUAGCUAGUUGGUAAGGUAACGGCUUACCAAGGCAACGAUGCAUAGCCGACCUGAGAGGGUGAUCGGCCACACUGGAACUGAGACACGGUCCAGACUCCUACGGGAGGCAGCAGUAGGGAAUCUUCCGCAAUGGGCGAAAGCCUGACGGAGCAACGCCGCGUGAGUGAUGAAGGUCUUCGGAUCGUAAAACUCUGUUAUUAGGGAAGAACAUAUGUGUAAGUAACUGUGCACAUCUUGACGGUACCUAAUCAGAAAGCCACGGCUAACUACGUG